GUCCCAAAGCCAAAAUUAUGCUACUCUCUAGCUCAGUCUCUGCUUUGGAGCAUAUCGGAACUCGGAAGCAGAUCGGAUAGGAAACUUCUUCAUCACUCUGGGUCUUUCUCUCUGCAGCUCUGCGCUGGCUCAGUUGUUGUCUCUCCUUCUCUUAUACAUAUUACUUUGUCUUAGCAGCUCAGAACCAGAUCGGAACCGGCGGCUUCAGCUUCUUCAUCGCUCAGUAGCUCUUGCUCUUUCUUUCUCUCUGAAGACUGAAACCAGAUCUUUCCAAACCAAACGAAAACCCCCCAAAGCCUUCUCUCUCAGCCUCUCUCACAUCUAGCCCUAAAUCGCUCUUCGCUGGCUUGCUUGUACCUUUUGCCAUGCUGCUUGAAUUUCUUUCUAUCUCUGCCUCUCUGGACAUUGACUAUUUGCUUCUGCAUUUUUGUUCACAUUUGUAAAUUUCAAGGCACAUAUUUGCAAGAUUAUAUUCUUUUGUUUGAAAAAUGUGAUGUUCUAGUUGAAAGAGGUUCAACAUUUGCACGGAACACUUCGCAUUUCAGGGCUUCAUAAUAUUGUUCAUGCUGAUGAUGAUUUGCUGGCCAAUAUGAGUGACAAGAAGUAUCUGAACGAGCUAAUUUUGCAAUGGGGACCAAGUAGACCAAGUGUACCCAAUGAUUCACAAACUAACAGAGAAGUGCUUGAAAAGUUCCAACCUUGUAGAAAUCUAAAAAAGCUCAGAAUUUAAUCAAUUUAUUGUUAUGGAAGCACAAGAUUUCCAGGUUGGUUAGGAGAUUCUUCCUCUACUCUAGUAUGUAUUGGUCUUUACAAAUGUAUAAAUUAUUAAUUACAUAAAUAAAAGCUAUAAAACGUGGCUUCCUCUA